rnacentral:rRNA from 1 species
AACGAACGCUGGCGGCAGGUCUUAGGCAUGCAAGUCGAACGGGUGUAGCAAUACAUCAGUGGCGCACGAGUGAGUAACGCGUGGGAAUUUGCCCAUCGGUGGGGAAUAACGUUUGGAAACGAACGCUAAUACCGCAUACGUCGAGAAAUCGAGAACGAUUUAUCGGCCGAUGGAUAAGCCCGCGUUGGAUUAGCUUGUUGGUAGGGUAAUGGCCUACCAAGGCGAUGAUCCAUAGCUGGUCUGAGAGGACGAUCAGCCACGCUGGGACUGAGACACGGCCCAGACUGCUGCGGGAGGCAGCAGCUAAGAAUAUUGGACAAUGGAGGAAACUCUGAUCCAGCCAUGCCGCGUGAGUGAAGAAGGCCUUCGGGUUGUAAAGCUCUUUUAGUCGUGAGGAUGAUGACGGUAGCGACAGAAAAAGCACCGGCUAACUUCGUGCCAGCCGCCGCGGUAA